rnacentral:rRNA from 1 species
AGCUCCAAUAGCGUAUAUUAAAGUUGUUGCAGUUAAAAAGCUCGUAGUUGGAUUUCUGGCAGGAGCGACCGGUCACACACUCUGUGUCUGAACUUGUGUUGUCUCUGGCCAUCCUUGGGGAGAUCCUGCUUGGCAUUAAGUUGUCGGGCAGGGGAUACCCAUCGUUUACUGUGAAAAAAAUUAGAAUGUUUAAAGCAGGCUUAUGCCGUUGAAUAUAUUAGUAUGGAAUAAUAAGAUAGGACUUUGAAACUAUUUUGUUGGUUUGCGUUACGAAGUAAUGAUUAUUAGGGACAGUUGUGGGUAUCCGUAUUUUGUUGUCAGAGGUGAAAUUCUUGUAUUUCCGAAAGACGAACUACUGCAAAAGCAUUUACCAAGGAUGUUUUCA